rnacentral:rRNA from 1 species
GACGAACGCUGGCGGCGUGCUUAACACAUGCAAGUCGAGCGGAGCGGCGAACGGGCGAGCAACGCGUGAGUAACUGCCCCCCUCCCUGGGAUAACAGUUGGAAACGGCUGCUAAUACCGGAUAGUGGGGGAUGACUUGCGUCCUAUCAGCUUGUUGGUGGGGUAGUGGCUUACCAAGGCGACGACGGGUAGCCGGACUGAGAGGGCGACCGGCCACAUUGGGCUGGGAUACGGCCCAAACUGCUACGGGAGGCAGCAGUGGAGAAUAUUGCACGAUGGGGGAAGCCCUGAUGGAGGAACGCCGCGUGGGGGAUGUUGGCCUUCGGGUUGUAAACCGCUUUCAGCCAUGACGCGGUAGUGGCAGAAGAAGCACCGGCUAACUACGUGCCAGCAGCCGCGGUAAUAC